GACGAACGCUGGCGGCGUGCCUAAUACAUGCGAGUAGAGCGCACAGUUUAUACCGUAGCUUGCUACACCAUAGACUGUGAGUUGCGAACGGGUGAGUAACGCGUAGGUAACCUGCCUGGUAGCGGGGGAUAACUAUUGGAAACGAUAGCUAAUACCGCAUAAUAUUAAUUAUUGCAUGAUAAUUAAUUGAAAGGUGCAAUUGCACCACUACCAGAUGGACCUGCGUUGUAUUAGCUAGUAGGUGAGGUAACGGCUCACCUAGGCGACGAUACAUAGCCGACCUGAGAGGGUGAUCGGCCACACUGGGACUGAGACACGGCCCAGACUCCUACGGGAGGCAGCAGUAGGGAAUCUUCGGCAAUGGACGAAAGUCUGACCGAGCAACGCCGCGUGAGUGAAGAAGGGUUUCGGAUCGUAAAGCUCUGUUGUAAGAGAAGAACGGGUGUGGGAGUGGAAAGUUCACACUGUGACGGUAUCUUACCAGAAAGGGACGGCUAACUACGUG
rnacentral:rRNA from 1 species